AACGAACGCUGGCGGCAUGCCUAACACAUGCGAGUCGAACGAGACCUUCGGGUCUAGUGGCGCACGGGUGCGUAACGCGUGGGAACCUGCCCUUAGGUUCUGAAUAACUCCCCGAAAGGGGUGCUAAUACCGGAUAAUGUCUUCGGACCAAAGAUUUAUCGCCUUUGGAUGGGCCCGCGUUGGAUUAGCUAGUUGGUAGGGUAAAAGCCUACCAAGGCGACGAUCCAUAGCUGGUCUGAGAGGAUGAUCAGCCACACUGGGACUGAGACACGGCCCAGACUCCUACGGGAGGCAGCAGUGGGGAAUAUUGGACAAUGGGCGAAAGCCUGAUCCAGCAAUGCCGCGUGAGUGAUGAAGGCCUUAGGGUUGUAAAGCUCUUUUACCCGGGAUGAUAAUGACAGUACCGGGAGAAUAAGCUCCGGCUAACUCCGUG
rnacentral:rRNA from 1 species